AAAGAAAAUAAAACAUAAAGUCGAUGCUCGUCGAUACUCGUGGCAAACGAAAUUAAUUUGUCCUUCGUGAAUAGCUCAUUAAAAGUGAGCAAAGAGCAAGUUACGUUACGGUGGCACGAGUUUGUCUCAAGUGGCGGCUGUCGUCGGUCAAUCUGCCGUAUAAAUGCAUCCGCGUGUCCUCGUUAACGUCUCCUCCGCGUUUUACGAAUCGGACGGGCGACCGGAGGAGGCAUUUUGCGGUGUGCGUGUGUUGGUCGGUAAAUAAAUGUGAAACAACGAACGGUGUUGGUACUUGGGAUAGACGACGGUUCAUGGCGAUUCUGCGCGGUCACAAUACGAUCAUUAGGCUAUUUUCCAGAGUAUACCACCGGCUAGUCGCAAUAUCUUUCUCUCUCAUUCUUCCUCUAUCUUAGCUUAGCUUUACCUACCUCUUUUCUUUCCUCUCUUAACACAGCCAACGUAUUUGUCCCGUCUGGCAAAGGGGCUUUCUGCGCGCUGGUAUUCACACAACUUGUAAGCUAUUCUCCAUAGUCGGUACUAGUUCAAGUUAUAAGUAUGGAGUAAGCAUAGCCGUAAAGAGAGUCCUGUCGUAUUCCAAGAGCAAAGUGCGAUGUCUGACGGUGAUCUUGUUACCGCAAAAGUGUGCGCAAUAAACAGGAGACUCCGUCGUUCGCGGGUGCCAUCCUGAGCUUCGUAAACUCAUGCCAAGUUCUUGGACAAUGUUAGCAAAAAGGGUACACAACAAAGCCGCUUAUGGCACGUCGACUCAAAGAUAUUUCCUGCAUCUAUGGGACAUGUAAAUGAAAAAAGAAGGAGGUUGAGGAGACGAUUAUGCGACUUUCGUAUCACGAGGAAGAAGAGACGUAACGCAUAUCAUAUCUCGUGAUCUUUACGACACCGAUGAUCGUUCGAGCGACGGCUGAGGGGCUAACAAUGUCGAAACCUUUCCUUCAGCUCACGAGAAUGGAACUAACGUGGAAAGCAAGAGUGCGAGAUGACAACGACGACCACGACGACACGACGUCCUGGACGAGUGAGAUUAUCGGUCACGUCGAAUCGCACGAGUCUCUUACAAACGUUAACGAUUUUGCGAUACAAGUCCUUUGAUCAUCAUCAUGAUAAUAAUGAUGAUGAUGAUAAUGCUUUGCCUUAUAGUUAUUGCAAAUUUCUGUAAAAAUGGAAUAAUUACGAUUGAUAUCUUGUAAAUGAUUCUUACCGAAAUAAAUCUCUUGUCGUAAAGAUAAAU
rnacentral:lncRNA from 1 species